rnacentral:lncRNA from 1 species
AUGUGUACUCUUUGUGACUGCGAUUGUGGCACACAAGUAGAGAGAAACAUGUUUUGGAAACAUCUGCUCUAUUCCAACCCUCUGGAGAAGGAUAGUUCCUUACCUUGUGUGCUGGCUACUCAUGAGAAUGAAUUUCUGUGCUAUUUUAGGCAAGACCUGUAUGCACUCAAAGAUUAUGUAAAACCGAAGAUACAGAUCCAGUUACAAAUGCAGUUUUGCAAUUGGUCUUGGAUGCAGCCUAGAGAAACAAACUGGAUUCCAACAUGAAAGGUAAAAUCUAUAAUUAAAAUAUUUGAUACUAUUUAGACAAUGAAUCUUUAAGAGAAAAAAGGUUCUGCAUUCAAUUCCAUUGAAGAAUGCUCUUAUAAAUGCAAAAACAUUUCUAAAAAAUAUUUAAAAAAAGAGAAAGACAUGAAUCCUACUACUUGAAUAUUUACAGUGUUCUUACUGUCUUAACAUUACUGAGAAGGAUGAGGUGUCAUAUUUUACCAGCUGCAGAUUUUGGGAAAUCCUACAAUGGAAUUUCCUAUUCCUCUAAAUCAUUAUAAAGGAAACCAGUCUUCUCAAAAGAAGCUGCACCCUAGUUAUAAACAUUCAUCAUCAUCCUUUCUACUUCUUACAGUGUUCAUAAAGGAUAGUCUACAUAGUGUCUCUGAUGUGCUGAAAUAAUACUAAGUAUUCCAAGCCUGCCUGUAUUCCUCCUGAUAAGAAGUGUGUAAUUUCUGUGCCAGGAGGAUCUGUAGUAACAUAAUAAAAAGAUCUGUUUAAUUUUAGAGAAGAUGGGC